GACGUAGGGCGCGAGCGUUGUCCGGAUUUAUUGGGCGUAAAGAGCUCGUAGGCGGCUUGUCGCGUCGAACUCGUGAAAUCCCGAGGCUCAACUUCGGGCUUGCAGUCGGAUACGGGCAGGCUAGAGUUCGGUAGGGGAGAUUCGGAAUUCCUGGUGUAGCGGUGAAAUGCGCAGAUAUCAGGAGGAACACCGGUGGCGAAGGCGGGUCUCUGGGCCGAUGACUGACGCUGAGGAGCGAAAGCGUGGGGAGCGAACAGG
rnacentral:rRNA from 1 species